CACCCGGUAGCACACGGUGUGCAUCUGCCAUACCUAUAUACUUGAGCUCUAUGGUGCAGAAGACCCCCGUUCGAUCCGGGGCCGGGUGA